CAGCCGCCGCGGGAAAACGAAGGGUGCAAGCGUUACUCGGAAUUACUGGGCGUAAAGCGUGCGUAGGUGGUGGUUUAAGUCCGUUGUGAAAGCCCUGGGCUCAACCUGGGAAUUGCAGUGGAUACUGGGUCACUAGAGUGUGGUAGAGGACAGUGGAAUUUUCGGUGUAGCAGUGAAAUGCGUAGAGAUCGGAAGGAACAUCUGUGGCGAAGGCGACUAUCUGGGCCAACACUGACACUGAGGCACGAAAGCGUGGGGAGCAAACAGGAUUAGAUACCCCUGUAGUCCCUGUCUCUUAUAC
rnacentral:rRNA from 1 species